CCUACGGGGGGCAGCAGUGGGGAAUAUUGGACAAUGGGCGAAAGCCUGAUCCAGCCAUGCCGCGUGUGUGAAGAAGGCCUUCGGGUUGUAAAGCACUUUCAGUGGGGAAGAAAGCCUUGGGCUAAUACCCUCGAGGAAGGACAUCACCCACAGAAGAAGCACCGGCUAACUCCGUGCCAGCAGCCGCGGUAAUACGGAGGGUGCGAGCGUUAAUCGGAAUUACUGGGCGUAAAGCGCGCGUAGGCGGUCUGAUAAGCCGGUUGUGAAAGCCCCGGGCUCAACCUGGGAACGGCAUCCGGAACUGUCAGGCUAGAGUGCAGGAGAGGAAGGUAGAAUUCCCGGUGUAGCGGUGAAAUGCGUAGAGAUCGGGAGGAAUACCAGUGGCGAAGGCGGCCUUCUGGACUGACACUGACGCUGAGGUGCGAAAGCGUGGGUAGCAAACAGGAUUAGAUACCCUAGUAGUC
rnacentral:rRNA from 1 species